GUUUGAUAAAUGGGAUACUUACAUAAUUUCAAACGAUUUCUCCACCAACACCUGUUAAUUACAGAGGAGAAAAGUAACUUUACAAUGGGAAUGGCUGGCAGACAUCACCUGACUCAAGUGUCAAAGUGAAGAAACAUCAUCAAUGAUGUUUCCAUUAAAUGGAAAUCCUGUGCCACCUGACAAGAGGCAUUUAGGACUUCUGUGAUAUUCCCUCUAAAGAUGCAUCACCUGAAUCUGACUAUGAAGAAACAUCAGAAAAACUCAAAUUGAGGAACACUCUGCAAGGUAACUAGCCUGUAAUCCUCACAGAUUCAAGGUCAGAAAAGACAAAAAUGAGAAACUGUUUCAGACUAAAGUUGACCUAAGGGACGUGACAAAUGCAGUGCAUGAUUCAGAACUGGAGCCUUUUGCCAUAAAAGACACGUAGGAGACAAUUGGCUAAAAUGGAAGGAAGGCUGAGGUUUAGAUGGCAACAAUAUGUAAGGGUUACUUUUCUGAUUUUGAUAGUUACAUCAUGUUUCUACAGGAGAAUGUCCUUGUUUGUAGGAAAUACAUACUAAAGUAUUUAGAGGUGAUGGGAAUCAGGUUGGUGAAUUACAAAUAGGUUGACAACUUAAUCUGGGAAAAAACAUCACAGCCACCUUUUCUUGUAAUGCUUUCCUGAGUGUUGGCUAAAUACAAUGAAGUUAAUACAACUUAGAAAAGCAAAACCCCCUUCUAAGAAGGACUCAAGGGAUAAAUUUUCACCACGAUGUUCAGCAUGAGAUUAUCUUCCAUAAGCGUGCAUCCCUCCCCUAAUUAGCUUCCUGACCUUCUUUCUAGUUCCCUCAAAACCCUGGCAAUGGCAACUAAAAAGAUGGCUUUUGUGAGAAGAGCGAUUGGUGUCCACACCUGCUGGUGCUGAGCACAAGACAAUGCACAUGUGUUCUCUUGAAGGAAGAAACUUUAGAAACGUCAUCUUCAAGGUGUCAAUGACUUGUCUACUAUAGCUGCUGCCUCAGCGUCCACUUUUAGACCCGGCAUCAGCUGUGUGAAACCCAGUCGCACCCUGCCACCUUUGGUCUAGGUGUGACUUCUCUUCCUUAGAGGGGCAUGAUAGAGCUCGUGUGUUUCUUUUCUUUUUUUUCUUUUUGUUUUUGAGAUGGAGUCUUGUUCUGUCACCCAGGCUGGAGUGCAGUGGCACCAUCUUGGCUCACUGUAACCUCUGCCUCCCAGUUCAAGCAAUUCUC
rnacentral:lncRNA from 10 species